ACAUGACACCUCCUACUGCAAAUCCAAUGGUGGAGGAAGACGAGGGAGUCCAGGUGCAUGUAGAGGAUCUUAAGCAAAGAUUCGAAGGUCACGUGUCUCUGAAUCGAGCAGCUGACUCCGGACUAAAAAAAGUGAGUGCUUCUCUGCUAGAGAUACCAUGGGGACAGGCCAGGGGGCUGGCUCCACAAAAAACACAGGGAAGGGAAAAUGUUUCCUACCUCUUCAUCAGUGCAUCCAGUUUAGUUAUUACCUGGGUUCAUUAGCACCUGAUAAUAUUGUAUCUGUAAUUUUGCCUGGUAUCCUCCAGUUACCCACCUCUCCCAGUGCCCACGCUGAGAUCCAUUUGGGGCAGGGUAGAACUAUUCCCUUUGCCUUUCGCUAGUUCCCUAAGAGUCACCUUACUCCAGACUCACCCUCUGAGGCCAGAGUUCAAGCUCCCUCGCUCUUUAUGGCCCAACCUUGACUGACCCAACGGAACUGCCUGCAGCUACAGAUCAGGGUGUCUUAGAGAAAUGCCCUGGGAACAAGAGAGGCUCAGCAGAGAAAGUAAAGGGGGAAACAAGACAAGGGAUGAUAUGCACCGAAGAUGAGGUGGAUGUAGCUGAUCACUCUGAAACAAAUCUUUAAGAAAGCCCCAAGCCUUGGGGGCAGCAGAGAGGACCCCCUUGUGUUUUAGAAAGUCCCUUUCCUCUCCAACAGGCACCUGUUCCCUCAGGCAGGAUUAUGGGAUGCUGCUUGUCCCAGGAAACAUUGGUUAUCCAAUAGCCCCGCAGUCAGGAGCUGGAUUAUCCCCUGUCAGGUCUCAGAUCAGCAUUUGGGCUGUGCCUCCACUCAGGCCAAAAUGGGCAGAGCUGGAAACUACACGUAUAGACUCAUGUUGUCAAACUUAGUCUUAAAAAAGCAUAGAAAACAGCUACAGCCAUGACCAGCGUGUACUGCUUUUACUCCUGUUAGCCCAGCAGAGAUGUCACUGGGACAGGUGGUGGUGCCGAAGCCUAAUCAACAUAAGGGGCACAUCUUCUAUUCAUGUUCCAUUGAUCUAUGGCUUAUAGAUGGUUAGUAAAUGAUGAAUAGAUGUUAUAAGCACAUCAGUGGGCGGGCAGUAUUAUAGAUGGUUUAAUCCAUGGCUAUAAGCGACAUUUUGUCCUAUCUGUGUUGCAAAUAGAGCUGUGGGGGGACUUGAUUUUCCAUUUUGUGGCACAUU